CCUACGGGAGGCAGCAGUGAGGAAUCUUGGUCAAUGGACGAGAGUCUGAACCAGCCAAGUCGCGUGAAGGAUGACUGCCCUAUGGGUUGUAAACUUCUUUUAUAUGGGAAUAAAACGUUCCACGUGUGGGUUUUUGUAUGUACCAUAUGAAUAAGGAUCGGCUAACUCCGUGCCAGAAGCCGCGGUAAUACGGAGGAUCCGAGCGUUAUCCGGAUUUAAUGGGUUUAAAGGGAGCGUAGGUGGGUUGUUAAGUCAGUUGUGAAAGUUUGCGGCUCAACCGUAGAAUUGCAGUUGAAACUGGCAGUCUUGAGUACAGUAGAGGUAGGCGGAAUUCGAGGUGUAGCGGUGAAAUGCUUAGAUAUCACGAAGAACACCGAUUGCGAAGGCAGUUCACUGGACUGCAACUGACGCUGAGGCUCGAAAGUGUGGGUAUCAAACAGGAUUAGAUACCCUUGUAGUC
rnacentral:rRNA from 1 species